rnacentral:rRNA from 1 species
GAUGAACGCUGGCGGCGUGCUUAACACAUGCAAGUCGAACGGUGAACGAGGGAGCUUGCUCCCUCCGGAUCAGUGGCGAACGGGUGAGUAACACGUGAGCAAUCUGCCCCGAACUCUGGGAUAAGCGCUGGAAACGGCGUCUAAUACCGGAUACGACGCGCGAAGGCAUCUUCUGCGCGUGGAAAGAAUUUCGGUUCGGGAUGAGCUCGCGGCCUAUCAGCUAGUUGGUGAGGUAACGGCUCACCAAGGCGACGACGGGUAGCCGGCCUGAGAGGGUGACCGGCCAGACUGGGGCUGAGACACGGCCCAGACUCCGACGGGAGGCAGCAGUGGGGAAUAUUGCACAAUGGGCGAAAGCCUGAUGCAGCAACGCCGCGUGAGGGACGACGGCCUUCGGGUUGUAAACCUCUUUUAGUAGGGAAGAAGCGAAAGUGACGGUACCUGCAGAAAAAGCACCGGCUAACUACGUGCCAGCCGCCGCAGUAAAAC